rnacentral:rRNA from 1 species
ACGGGUGAGUAACGCGUAGACAACCUGCCUUUUAGAUGGGGACAACACUGCGAAAGUGGUGCUAAUACCGAAUGUUGUAACUUUGUCGCAUGAUAAAGUUACUAAAGGUGGUCUCUAUUUAUAAGCUAUCACUAAAAGAUGGGUCUGCGUCUGAUUAGCUAGUUGGUGAGGUAAUGGCUCACCAAGGCGACGAUCAGUAGCCGGUCUGAGAGGAUGAACGGCCACAUUGGGACUGAGACACGGCCCAGACUCCUACGGGAGGCAGCAGUGGGGAAUCUUCCGCAAUGGACGAAAGUCUGACGGAGCAACGCCGCGUGAGUGAAGAAGGUUUUCGGAUCGUAAAGCUCUGUCUUCAGGGACGAAUGUUACUAUUUUGAAUAAGGAUAGUAAAUGACGGUACCUGAGGAGGAAGCCACGGCUAACUACGUGCCAGCAGCCGCGGUAAUACGUAGGUGGCAAGCGUUGUCCGGAAUUAUUGGGCGUAAAGCGCGCGCAGGCGGGAAUAUAAGUCUAUCUUAAAAGUGCGGGGCUCAACCCCGUGAGGGGAUGGAAACUAUAUUUCUUGAGUACAGGAGAGGAAAGUGGAAUUC